UAGGGAAUCUUCGGCAAUGGACGGAAGUCUGACCGAGCAACGCCGCGUGAGUGAAGAAGGUUUUCGGAUCGUAAAGCUCUGUUGUAAGAGAAGAACGAGUGUGAGAGUGGAAAGUUCACGCUGUGACGGUAUCUUACCAGAAAGGGACGGCUAACUACGUGCCAGCAGCCGCGGUAAUACGUAGGUCCCGAGCGUUGUCCGGAUUUAUUGGGCGUAAAGCGAGCGCAGGCGGCUAGAUAAGUCUGAAGUUAAAGGCUGUGGCUUAACCAUAGUACGCUUUGGAAACUGUUUAACUUGAGUGCAAGAGGGGAGAGUGGAAUUCCAUGUGUAGCGGUGAAAUGCGUAGAUAUAUGGAGGAACACCGGUGGCGAAAGCGGCUCUCUGGCUUGUAACUGACGCUGAGGCUCGAAAGCGUGGGGAGCAAACAGGAUUAGAUACCCUGGUAGUCCACGCCGUAAACGAUGAGUGCUAGGUGUUAGACCCUUUCCGGGGUUUAGUGCCGCAGCUAACGCAUUAAGCACUCCGCCUGGGGAGUACGACCGCAAGGUUG
rnacentral:rRNA from 1 species